UAGCGCACAUCAUACGACGUACCACUUCCUCUGUGAGCCUUGAGUGAGCCCUGGUAGAAGAUACAAAGGCACUUCCUAUUUGAAAGGAUAUAUCUACGACUCAGAAUGACUGACGCGAGUUCCAUGAGUUCUUUGAGUGGAGUAGAGUCGGCGAGCGAGAUGUCGCAAAGCACGGUCGGAGCUGCAGGAGCAGGUAAC